UAAACACUAAAAAGUGGGUUGAAGUUGAUCCUGGAUCCAGCUGGAUGGAAACAGUGUUGAAAGAAAACAAGUAUUUAACAGAAUUCUUAUACAUGACAUCACAGGGGGACUGCAGGUCCUGGCUUGAGGAGUUCAAGGCACACUGGGAAGAAAAGCUGGAGUCUAGAGCCUCACCAGCUGCUGCUCCAGUUGUGGUCCAGCCUUCGUCCAUGGCCAUCAAGUCCAACAUCUCUGUCCUGCUGAUAAUUCUCAUGAGCUUUCUCCUAUUUCUCCUACAAUAUUUGCAAUAGCAGGUUGAAGAUGCUCCAGAGAAGCUCCGAGAGUUCAUCUGCCACCACUCUCCCUUUCCAUCAGCCUCCACCAGAUGAAUCAGGAUGCUGCAGACACAGCAUUUCAGAGUCUUUCACUCUGUUCUCUUCGUUUAGGCCUUUCUUAUCACCUUGUACUGUUUCUCUUGUGCUCCCUGGUGGGAUUUGCUCUUAACAUGGAAGUUGAGAUCUGGUAAAGAAUGUGGUUAUGGACCCAUCCCAAGCAUAGGAAACCAUAUGGAUAACCAGAUCUCCUUAGUGGAAGUGUGAAGGUUUUACUCUUGCAUAUAACUGGCAAUAAUCAAAUAUCUCAGGUAUCACUAAAAGAAACCUCUAACAACUAAUCAUAGUAAAUGGAAACUGAGGAAUCCAGUUGUCUUUGAGUGGGCCAGGCAAAUGUCAUGACAGGCCUCUGAUAAUUCAGUUAAGAACUCUGCCUGUAGUAGGUAGGGUUAGCACUGGACAGGAGACUAAUCUUUCCAGUACCAGAUUUAACCAUGGUAGUCCUGGCACCAGACUUCACUGUAAUACCUAGACUUAAUUUCUUAUCCUUCAUUUGUGCUAUGUUAUUUUGAAUUAAGGAAGGAAUGACUUAAGGCAAUACUUUUCUAUUUUGUUUUUUUGAGACAGGGUUUCUCUGUAGCUUUGGAGCCUGUCCUGGAAACUAGUUCAUGUAAACCAGGCUGGCCUCAACCUCACUGAAAUCCACCUGCCUCUGCUUCCCAAGUGCUGGGGUUAAAGGCAUGUGGCAAUUCUUUCUUUCAUACUUGCAAUGUGUAUAUGAGUACAGGCUAUAUAUCCUAAGCAAUCAGAAAGCUGCAGCCUGGUCUUUUCUUACAAUUUACCUAAGAUCUUGAAUACUUUUGCCUGGUUUCCUCAGAUUUGUGGCUGUGUUUUGGCAUCUAAAUAGCUAGUAUAACUGUGUGUCUUUAGUAACAGCUGAUGGAGAUAUUGCUAAGCUACCACCUUGUUCCCCUUCUCUCCAUUAAAACCUCUUCUAAAUGUCACUGCUGGAGAAUUUUAUAUAAUUAAAUAAUGUUCUUUUAUAAAUCCAAAAAAAAAAAAAAAAAAAAAAAAAGAACUCUGCCUGUCGCAAACAGAGGAAAACCAAUCACCAACAUCCCUGACACUGGGUGAGGCAUGCAUGUACACCUGGGUCGACACCCCUCCUCCUGACACAGGUAAUAACUGAAUAAGGACAAAGCCUUGAACUUGUCCAAGAAUGGAAGAGCAAUAGCCUCAGACCACCCCACUAGCCCUAACCAAUUAGAAAUGUACUAAUAUAAUUACCACUCGUGGAAACCAAUCCUAAAUAGAUUGGUCCAAUUGCUUUUAAAAUUCCUACAGCUGCGCUUUUAAAAGAAGCUUACAUGUCCCUCUUGAGGUCAUCACCAUUUUGUAUAGGUGUGCAACCCCCACACGCUUAUGAUCUAAUAAACACUUGCUGAUUGCCUCGAGGCCUUUUGGGAACUUCCCAAGGACCCGGACAGUCUUACCAUGUUUCUCACCAUCCUGAAGCAGCUGGUCUAAUAACAAGAUGGAAUGGUCUUUUAAAGACACAGUUAUAGUGCCAACUAGAUGGCAGCAGCCUGGAGGGCUGGGAUAGGACCUCCAGAAGGUGGUAUAUGCUUUGAAUCAGCUACCAAUUAAUGGUAGAAUUUCUCCCAUAGCCAGGAUCCAUGGGUUCAGGUACCACAUGGCAGAAAGGGAAUAGAUCCACUCACUCUCACCCUUAUUGACCCACUUGGGAAAGUUUUGCUUCCUGCUCCUGCAAUCUUAAGUUCUGCUGACCUAGAAGAUUCAGUUUCAUAGUGGAGAAUGCUCGUGCCAGGAGCCAAAACAAACAUUCCAUUCAACUGAAAGCUCAGACUCCCCUCUGGCCACUUUUGGCUUCUGAUUCCCUGAAGGCUACAGGCUAAGAAAAGAAUAACAGUGUAAGGAGAGGUGAUUGCUCUAGAUAACCAAGAGCAAAUUGCACUGCUUGUCCAUGACGGAGGUAAGAAAGAUUAUUUCGGGAGUGCAGGGAGAUCCUUUAGGGCAUCUCUUGGUGCUACCAUGUUCUGUGAUUAAAAUCAAUUGGAAAUAACAGCAGCCUAAUCCUGGCAGAAUGGAAAGGAAUGAAGGUAUGGGUCGCUCCUCCAGGAAGACCUGCUGAGGUGGCUGCUGGCGGUAGAGGAGAUUCAGAAGGUUUGUAGAGGAAGGUAGUUAUAAAUACCCACUAAGAAACAUGGCCACUUGCAGAAACAGAAUUAUAAUUAGAAAGGUUUCCAUACCCCAGUAAUAAGUUUCUCUACUGAUGCAGUAAGCCAGAUAAACCUGAAUUUAAAAGUAAACGACCAAGUGUAUUUUAGCAAAGCACUCCAGGGUGAUGCUCCAGCGCCAGGGAUGAAGCAGGGGAACAGAGCAGGAGAGAAAUCACAUGGCCUUUCUGAAGGAGGGGGCUUAACUACCCUGCAUGUGCCACGUGUGUGAUGGUGGUGGUGUGCCCUCCACAAGCUUCUGGUGGGGAUUGUGGAGCUGGCAGCCUCAGAGGAGGAACCACUGUUUAAUGUUUUUUUCUGAGAGGAUGGGGUUUGGAAAGAGAGGAGUGGGCGUGAGCUGGAGAUUCCACCUGAACAUAACUGACAUGAGUGUUCCUUCAUAUUUUGCUAAGAAAUGUUUUCAUACAAAUAUUUGUGUUUUAUUCCCUUGAUAUCUCUAUCAUGUAAUACAAUACCAAUUAAGAGAAUAUCAAUACUUAUCAUAUUUAAGUUUGAGAUACAAAGAGAAUGCCCCUCAAGGGACAUCGCCCCCUAUUCUAAAUUAAUAAAGUAUUUGUGAUUGUAUGAAUGAUAGCUAUAUUAUGUUAAA